UACGGAGGGUGCAAGCGUUAUCCGGAUUCACUGGGUUUAAAGGGUGCGUAGGCGGCUCUUUAAGUCAGUGGUGAAAUCCUACAGCUUAACUGUAGAAACAGCCAUUGAUACUGAAGAGCUUGAGUACAGACGAGGUAGGCGGAAUUUAUGGUGUAGCGGUGAAAUGCAUAGAUACCAUAAAGAACUCCUAUUGCGAAGGCAGCUUACUAGGCUGUAACUGACGUGAGGCACGAAAGCGUGGGGGAUCAAACAGG
rnacentral:rRNA from 1 species